rnacentral:rRNA from 1 species
GGAUGAACGCUAGCGGCAGGCUUAACACAUGCAAGUCGAGGGGUAACGAUGGUGCUUGCACCAGGCGACGACCGGCGGACGGGUGAGUAACACGUAUGCAAUUUGCCUUUAACUGGAGGAUAGCUUCGGGAAACCGUAAUUAAUACUCCAUAGUAUUCAAAAGACGCAUGUUUUUUGAAUUAAAGCUCCGGCGGUUAAAGAUAAGCAUGCGGGACAUUAGCUAGUUGGUAAGGUAACGGCUUACCAAGGCGACGAUGUCUAGGGGGUUUGAGAGGAUGAUCCCCCACACUGGUACUGAGACACGGACCAGACUCCUACGGGAGGCAGCAGUGAGGAAUAUUGGGCAAUGGGCGCAAGCCUGACCCAGCCAUGCCGCGUGCAGGAUGAAGGUCCUAUGGAUCGUAAACUGCUUUUGUAUGGGAAGAACUUCCCGCAUUCGUGCGGGAUUGACGGUACUAUACGAAUAAGGACCGGCUAACUCCGUGCCAGCAGCCGCGGUAAUACGGAGGGUCCAAGCGUUAUCCGGAUUCACUGGGUUUAAAGGGUGCGUAGGUGGAACGAUAAGUCGAUGGUGAAAGCCUACAGCUUAACUGUAGAAUUGCCAUUGAUACUGUUGUUCUUGAGUAUAGUCGGGGGAAGUGGAAUGCGUAAUGUAGCGGUGAAAUGCAUAGAUAUUACGCAGAACACCGAUCGCGAAAGCAGCUUCCUAGGCUAUUACUGACACUGAGGCACGAAAGCGUGGGGAGCGAACAGGAUUAGAUACCCUGGUAGUCCACGCCGUAAACGAUGCUCACUCGCUGUUGGCGAUAUAUUGUCAGCAGUUAAGCUAAAGCAUUAAGUGAGCCACCUGGGAAGUACGUCCGCAAGGAUGAAACUCAAAGGAAUUGACGGGGGCCCGCACAACCGGUGGAACAUGUGGUUCAAUUCGAUGAUACGCGAGGAACCUUACCUGGGCUUAAAUGUAGUUUGACUUCCGCCGAAAGGCGGUUUUCCUUCGGGACAAAUUACAAGGUGCUGCACGGCUGUCGUCAGCUCGUGCCGUGAGGUAUCGGGUUAAGUCCCUUAACGAGCGCAACCCCUAUUGUUAGUUACCAACAG